rnacentral:rRNA from 1 species
CACUAUCGUUAACUGAAUACAUAGGUUAACGAGGCGAACCGGGGGAACUGAAACAUCUAAGUACCCCGAGGAAAAGAAAUCAACCGAGAUUCCCCCAGUAGCGGCGAGCGAACGGGGAGCAGCCCAGAGUCUGAAUCAGCUUGUGUGUUAGUGGAACGGUCUGGAAAGUCCGACGGUACAGGGUGAUAGUCCCGUACACCAAAAUGCACAGGCUGUGAACUCGAAGAGUAGGGCGGGACACGUGGUAUCCUGUCUGAAUAUGGGGGGACCAUCCUCCAAGGCUAAAUACUCCUGACUGACCGAUAGUGAACCAGUACCGUGAGGGAAAGGCGAAAAGAACCCCGGCGAGGGGAGUGAAAAAGAACCUGAAACCGUGUACGUACAAGCAGUGGGAGCACCUUCGGGUGUGACUGCGUACCUUUUGUAUAAUGGGUCAGCGACUUAUAUUCUGUAGCAAGGUUAACCGUAUAGGGGAGCCGCAGGGAAACCGAGUCUUAACUGGGCGUUAAGUUGCAGGGUAUAGACCCGAAACCCGGUGAUCUAGCCAUGGGCAGGUUGAAGGUUGGGUAACACUAACUGGAGGACCGAACCGACUAAUGUUGAAAAAUUAGCGGAUGACUUGUGGCUGGGGGUGAAAGGCCAAUCAAACCGGGAGAUAGCUGGUUCUCCCCGAAAGCUAUUUAGGUAGCGCCUCGUGAACUCAUCUUCGGGGGUAGAGCACUGUUUCGGCUAGGGGGUCAUCCCGACUUACCAACCCGAUGCAAACUACGAAUACCGAAGAAUGUUAUCACGGGAGACACACGGCGGGUGCUAACGUCCGUCGUGAAGAGGGAAACAACCCAGACCGCCAGCUAAGGUCCCAAAGUCAUGGUUAAGUGGGAAACGAUGUGGGAAGGCACAGACAGCCAGGAUGUUGGCUUAGAAGCAGCCAUCAUUUAAAGAAAGCGUAAUAGCUCACUGGUCGAGUCGGCCUGCGCGGAAGAUGUAACGGGGCUAAACCAUGCACCGAAGCUGCGGCAGCGACACUAUGUGUUGUUGGGUAGGGGAGCGUUCUGUAAGCCUGCGAAGGUGACCUGUGAGGGUUGCUGGAGGUAUCAGAAGUGCGAAUGCUGACAUAAGUAACGAUAAAGCGGGUGAAAAGCCCGCUCGCCGGAAGACCAAGGGUUCCUGUCCAACGUUAAUCGGGGCAGGGUGAGUCGACCCCUAAGGCGAGGCCGAAAGGCGUAGUCGAUGGGAAACAGGUUAAUAUUCCUGUACUUGGUGUUACUGCGAAGGGGGGACGGAGAAGGCUAUGUUAGCCGGGCGACGGUUGUCCCGGUUUAAGCAUGUAGGCUGAUUGUCCAGGCAAAUCCGGAUAAUCAAGGCUGAGGUGUGAUGACGAGGCACUACGGUGCUGAAGUAACAAAUGCCCUGCUUCCAGGAAAAGCCUCUAAGCAUCAGGUAACAUCAAAUCGUACCCCAAACCGACACAGGUGGUCAGGUAGAGAAUACCAAGGCGCUUGAGAGAACUCGGGUGAAGGAACUAGGCAAAAUGGUGCCGUAACUUCGGGAGAAGGCACGCUGGUGUGUAGGUGAAGCCCCUGCGGGUGGAGCUGAGACCAGUCGAAGAUACCAGCUGGCUGCAACUGUUUAUUAAAAACACAGCACUGUGCAAACACGAAAGUGGACGUAUACGGUGUGACGCCUGCCCGGUGCCGGAAGGUUAAUUGAUGGGGUUAUCCGUAAGGAGAAGCUCUUGAUCGAAGCCCCGGUAAACGGCGGCCGUAACUAUAACGGUCCUAAGGUAGCGAAAUUCCUUGUCGGGUAAGUUCCGACCUGCACGAAUGGCGUAAUGAUGGCCAGGCUGUCUCCACCCGAGACUCAGUGAAAUUGAACUCGCUGUGAAGAUGCAGUGUACCCGCGGCAAGACGGAAAGACCCCGUGAACCUUUACUAUAGCUUGACACUGAACAUUGAGCCUUGAUGUGUAGGAUAGGUGGGAGGCUUUGAAGCGUGGACGCCAGUCUGCGUGGAGCCAACCUUGAAAUACCACCCUUUAAUGUUUGAUGUUCUAACGUUGGCCCCUUACCGGGGUUGCGGACAGUGUCUGGUGGGUAGUUUGACUGGGGCGGUCUCCUCCCAAAGCGUAACGGAGGAGCACGAAGGUUAGCUAAUCCUGGUCGGACAUCAGGAGGUUAGUGCAAUGGCAUAAGCUAGCUUGACUGCGAGCGUGACGGCGCGAGCAGGUGCGAAAGCAGGUCAUAGUGAUCCGGUGGUUCUGAAUGGAAGGGCCAUCGCUCAACGGAUAAAAGGUACUCCGGGGAUAACAGGCUGAUACCGCCCAAGAGUUCAUAUCGACGGCGGUGUUUGGCACCUCGAUGUCGGCUCAUCACAUCCUGGGGCUGAAGUAGGUCCCAAGGGUAUGGCUGUUCGCCAUUUAAAGUGGUACGCGAGCUGGGUUUAGAACGUCGUGAGACAGUUCGGUCCCUAUCUGCCGUGGGCGCUGGAGAAUUGAGGGGGGCUGCUCCUAGUACGAGAGGACCGGAGUGGACGCAUCACUGGUGUUCGGGUUGUCAUGCCAAUGGCACUGCCCGGUAGCUAAAUGCGGAAGAGAUAAGUGCUGAAAGCAUCUAAGCACGAAACUUGCCCCGAGAUGAGUUCUCCCUGAGACUUUAAGUCUCCUGAAGGAACGUU